rnacentral:misc_RNA from 1 species
GAAAUGCGAUAAGUAGUGUGAAUUGCAGAAUUCAGUGAAUCAUCGAAUCUUUGAACGCACAUUGCGCCCCUUGGUAUUCCAUGGGGCAUGCCUGUUCGAGCGUCAUUUGUACCCUCAAGCUCUGCUUGGUGUUGGGUGUUUGUCCCCGUCUCCGCGCGUGGACUCGCCCCAAAGUGAUUGGCAGCCGGCGUACUGGUCCCGGAGCGCAGCGCAUGUCGCGCAAACGAGUGCCUUGGUACGGCGGCGUCCAUAAGCCCCUCUCUCACGCUCUUGAUCUCAAAUCAGGUAGGACUACCCGCUGAACUUAAGC